rnacentral:rRNA from 1 species
CAAUAGCGUAUAUUAAAGUUGUUGCGGUUAAAAAGCUCGUAGUUGGAUUUCUGCUGAGGACGAUCGGUCCGCCCACUGGGUGAGUAUCUGGCUCGGCCUUGGCAUCUUCUUGGAGAACGUUGCUGCACUUGACUGUGUGGUGCGGUAUCCAGGACUUUUACUUUGAGGAAAUUAGAGUGUUUCAAGCAGGCGCACGCCUUGAAUACAUUAGCAUGGAAUAAUAAGAUAGGACCUUAGUUCUAUUUUGUUGGUUUCUAGAGCUGAGGUAAUGAUUAAUAGGGAUAGUUGGGGGCAUUCGUAUUUAACUGUCAGAGGUGAAAUUCUUGGAUUUGUUAAAGACGGGCUACUGCGAAAGCAUUUGCCAAGGAUGUUUUCAUUGA